CUCCCUGUAGCACAAUGGAUAGCGCGUUGACGCUUUGAAUCCAAAGGUCGUGGGUUCGAAUCCCACCUGGGAGG